rnacentral:rRNA from 1 species
GAUCAUGGCUCAGGAUGAACGCUAGCUACAGGCUUAACACAUGCAAGUCGGAGGGGAAACGAUAUUGGAAGCUUGCUUCCGAUAGGCGUCGACCGGCGCACGGGUGAGUAACGCGUAUCCAACCUGCCCACCACUUGGGGAUAACCGUUGCGAAAGUAAGACUAAUACCCAAUGAUAUCUCUAGAAGACAUCUGAAAGAGAUUAAAGAUUCAUCGGUGAUGGAUGGGG